rnacentral:rRNA from 1 species
AUGAACGCUGGCGGCGUGCCUCAUACCUGCAAGUCGAGCGAACGGACGAGAAGCUUGCUUUUCUGAUGUUAGCGGCGGACGGGUGAGUAACACGUGGAUAACCUACCUAUAAGACUGGGAUAACUUCGGGAAACCGGAGCUAAUACCGGAUAAUAUUUUGAACCGCAUGGUUCAAAAGUGAAAGACGGUCUUGCUGUCACUUAUAGAUGGAUCCGCGCUGCAUUAGCUAGUUGGUAAGGUAACGGCUUACCAAGGCAACGAUGCAUAGCCGACCUGAGAGGGUGAUCGGCCACACUGGAACUGAGACACGGUCCAGACUCCUACGGGAGGCAGCAGUAGGGAAUCUUCCGCAAUGGGCGAAAGCCUGACGGAGCAACGCCGCGUGAGUGAUGAAGGUCUUCGGAUCGUAAAACUCUGUUAUUAGGGAAGAACAUAUGUGUAAGUAACUGUGCACAUCUUGACGGUACCUAAUCAGAAAGCCACGGCUAACUACGUG